CAAUAGCGUAUAUUAAAGUUGUUGCAGUUAAAAAGCUCGUAGUUGGAUUUCUGGUUGAAGCGACCGGUCGGGCGUUGAUUCGUCUGCACUGGAGUCGGUUUUGGCCAUCCUCUAGGAAAGUGCGUCUGGUAUUAAGUUAUCGGGCGUAUGAUCCUGGUCUUUUACUGUGAAAAAAUUAGAGUGUUUAAAGCAGGCCUUCGCCUUGAAUACAUUAGCAUGGAAUAAUAAGACAGGACUUUGGUCUAUUUUGUUGGUUUGCAGACCGAAGUAAUGAUUAAUAGGGAUAGUUGGGGGUAUUUAUAUUCCGAUGUCAGAGGUGAAAUUCUUAGAUUUUCGGAAGAUAAACUUAUGCGAAAGCAUUUACCAAGGAUGUUUUCAUUAA
rnacentral:rRNA from 1 species